rnacentral:tRNA from 1 species
GAAAAAGUAUGCAAGAACUGCUAACUCUUAUGCCCCCGUGCAUAAUAGCACGGCUUUUUCG